UACGCAUGCUCGGGCAUUGCAGGACUAGAAGAAAAAGGUCCCAUCUGGAGACCUGCUUUGCAAUACUUUCCUCUUCUAACCACAUCACCUGACAGAAUCUAGAAGAUCCUGCUUUGGGUAGGUGAGACCUAAAUGCUUUUGUCACCUUCUUCUAUUCCAGUGAGGAGCUGAGUGAGAUCCAAGAAGAAAAUGCUUCCUUCGGUAUCCUGGGUAGGUGCUCCUCCAGAAGCAGGGGUUCUAGGAAGAGGUCAAGACAAAGAGUGGAGAGAAGGAUGCCCAUAGCCUUUCUCAGAGGGGCUUAGAUUUGGAUUCUAUCUCCCACAGCAUCAUCUGUGACUGCCUUGCUCUUGGGACAGUGUGUGAAGCGUCUUCUCUAGAAGAAACUAGUACAGCCAGGUCAUCGUCACUCCAUGUAAGAUGGUAAUUGCAGCAGUCAGUGCUCAGCUUGACGUUCUGACACAGGACUAAGGGGGCUGAGCUCAACAUGUGAUCUAGAAAACAAUCGAAAAGCUAACAUCAAGGACUGGGAGUUCUGCUGAGGAAAUGAGUUCCUGUCCCAGAACUCAUGCUUUGUUUUGUGAAGAUGGAAAAACAUCUGUACGGUGCUACACUCUGUGGGAAAACCAGCGCUCGGGAAAACGGGCACAGAGGGAUCCCUGGGGCUCACUGCUCAGCCAAACUAGCAUAUUUGGCAAACUUCAGGCCAGUAAGUGAGCCACCAACAAAAGGUAUGCAGAGAGCACUUAAAGAAGACCCCUGACAUGAGCACACAUGUGCUGCUUCAUCACACAUGUGUGUGCAAACACACGUAUACACUUUUAAAAAAAAUGAUGUCAAAAAACAAUUCCUAGGAAUUUGUCAAUGAUAGGUUUAGAAAUCAAAUAGAUAGCUUUCAUCCACGCAUAGUACCUACUAUUUCUCCUUGUAAAUCAAUAUUCCUCCCUGGCUCCCUGGCUCCCUGGCUCCCUGACUCCCUGGCCUCCUGGGUCCCUGGGUCCCUGGUUCCCUGGCUCCCUGGCUCCCUGGCUCCCUGGCUCCCUGGCUCCCUGGCUCCCUGGCUCCCUGGCUCCCUGCCUCCCUGCCUCCCUGCCUCCUUGCCUCCCUGCCUCCCUGCCUCCCUGCCUCCCUGCCUCCCUGGUUCCCUGCCUCUCUGCCUCCCUACAUUUUUUUCCUCCCUGCCUCUCAUGGAAGUAGCUUUCCACAAUUGCUCCACAUCUGUUGGGAGCCAACUCCUAGCAGAAAGCAGCUAUCAUCUCUGCAGCCAUCUCAGGCUAUUUACUUACAGGUGGUACUUUUCCACCCUGAUGAGAGACUUGUUUUCCUAGCAUGAUGUUUUUGAAAGAAGCCCACCACAGCUGAAAAUACUCUGAUAACAUCUUGUUUUUCUCCUAUACACCCUGGACUGUGGUUAAGUGUCUCCAACUGCACUCCCCAGCUUGUGCUUAUAUACUCAUAGUUGCCUUCCAAUAAAUGAGACUCAAGACUUGAGACUUGAUCACAUAGCCUGUCUUGUCUCCAUUCUUCACGUCUCUUGUCCCUCCAUCCUCAUUCUUUCUCUUGCAGACCCUGUUGACUGACCCACGGACCAGGUCACACAUCCCCAGUGAAUAGACACCCUUUACCUUCCCUAUCUAGGAAGGAAUCUUUUCACUAAUGGCUUUUUAGUUUGACUAUCUAGGAUGACUCUCGUGUCCUCUCAGAAAUCCCUGCAAAAGCUUUCUGUUAAUGAAAAUAUUGUGUGAGUAUACACACAGGUGCAUGCUAGGAUUAUGACCAUCCUAAGAGAGAUGGGAAAGGGGCGGGAUGGAGGGAGGAUUCUACUAUAUACCUGUAUACCAUGAAGUGAAAUUCAGAGCAUGAAUUUCACUCUCAGGUGUCAUGUCAGUCCUUGGUCUCUGCAGGUGGGUUGCCCAGGUCACUGCUUGGCUCUACUGCCAUCUUCCCAGUUUCCCCAUAAUCGCUCUCCUCUUUCUCCCUCAGGCCAGCCCUGCUCCCACACUGCAGCCUCCAGUGUGGCCAGGACCACGGCUCAAUGAGAAGGCUCUUUGCUCCCUGACACUUGAAAUCUCUCUCGAUAGCGGGAGAUAAGCAUCCACUUGAGAGAGAAAUCAUAGUUCAAGUAAGACCGAGCAAGUGACAUGAGCUGUUUUGUUCUAGGGAAAGAGAGACAACAUCAUAUUGAGAGAUUCUGCCCUCGGAUAUGUGGAAGCAACUCUAUCAUAGUAUAUCGUUCUCUUAACUACACAGGCAUGACAAAGCUUCAGUCUAAUGAAGGAGGCUGCGUAGACAACUAUCUUGAAGUUGUGCCCUGGUAACCACUGAUUUUGGACAUUGUUGCAGCAGGCUAUACUGACUCUCUGGCUUCCUCUAUGAGAGAAUAAUACUCAUACAAAACAUCCACUGAGUUCUCUCUUUCCCUGCUU
rnacentral:lncRNA from 1 species